rnacentral:rRNA from 1 species
AUACGUAGGGGGCAAGCGUUAUCCGGAUUUACUGGGUGUAAAGGGAGCGUAGACGGAAGGCCAAGUCUGAUGUGAAAGCCCGCGGCUCAACUGCGGGACUGCAUUGGAAACUGGUCAUCUGGAGUGCAGGAGGGGUAAGCGGAAUUCCUAGUGUAGCGGUGAAAUGCGUAGAUAUUAGGAGGAACACCGGUGGCGAAGGCGGCUUACUGGACUGUAACUGACGUUGAGGCUCGAAAGCGUGGGGAGCAAACAGGAUUAGAUACCCUGGUAGUCCACGCUGUAAACGAUGAGCACUAGGUGUCGGGGUCGCAAGACUUCGGUGCCGCAGUUAACGCAUUAAGUGCUCCGCCUGGGGAGUACGUUCGCAAGAAUAAAACUCAAAUGAAUUGACGGGG